GAUGAACGCUGGCGGCGUGCCUAAUACAUGCAAGUCGAACGAAACUUCUUUACCACCGUGUGCUUGCACUCAGCGUAACAGGGUUGAGUGGCGAACGUGUGCGGAACAUGUGUGCAAGCUGCCUACAAGAGGGGGAUAACACUAGGAAACAGGUGCUACUACCGCAUAACGAUAGUUACAGCAUGGCAACUAUGUGAAAGGUGGCCACACUAUCGCAUCUGGAUGGGGGGGCGGUGCCUUAGCUAGUUGUUGGGGUAAAGCCUUACCAAGACGAUGACGCGUAUCCGAAUGGAUAGGUUGGUCGGCCACAUGGGAGGGGAGACACGGCCCAUGCGCCUACGAGAGGGAGCAGUAGGGAAUCGGCCGCAGUGGGCGAAAGCCUGAUAGAGCGACGGCGCGUGGGUGAAGGAGAUCUUCGGAGCGUAAUGCCCUGUUGUUGGUGAAAAAAGGGCGUGGGAGUAACUGUUGACGUAUCGACGGUAUCGAACCAGAAAGCCACGGCUAACUACGUG
rnacentral:rRNA from 1 species